rnacentral:lncRNA from 1 species
GCAGAAUGUCAGUUUAGUCAGUUAGAACUUUCAAUGCAGAAAUUCAGUGCCAUGCAGUCACGCAGAUCGAGAGCAGCACUUACCUUAAUUGAAAUAUUCUCUGUGAACGAGCAUAUUCAAGGUCUUUCUUCCGAAUAUGGGCAAACAAGACACUGAGUAGAAAGAAUAUGCCACUUAGACCUGAAACCACUUUACUACCCUGACUGUGGACAUCAAUGAACAGCUCUAAAACUUGAAGUGUAAGAAGACUUAACUUACGUUAAAACAAGGAUACUAGUUGAAGAUGAGAAGACAUGGUUUCUGUCUUCCAGGAACUCUCAAUCAAUUGGAAAGACUGCUAUGAAAACAACUUUAUAAUACAAAUUGGGAAAAAAUGUGCUAAAAUAGAAACUAACUCAAUUGGUGUCCCCCUGACUCUGGACAAUAACAGCCUCCACUCAAAAGGAGUGUUUCCUAUGCUCAAGGAGCUCUAAGAUAGGAUAGAAGGGAGAGGAAAUUUGGACAUGAGCGGAGACACCGGGAAUGUACCUACAGAGAAAAGAACAUGUGAAGACUCAGCAAGAAAGACGCCAUCUGCCAGCCAAGGACAAGUCUCAGAAGAAAGAAAACCUGCCAACACCUUGAUCAGGGACUUCUAACCUCUGGAACAGUUUAAGGAAAAUGAGACUCAGCAUGAGAGAGAAAGAGGUUGGAGGUGGACAUACGAAGAAUCAACUGGUUAAAAAUGAAGUGUUUUAAGUCACAGAAGAGCUUUAAACAAUCCAUUUGCCUAAGAACCAUCUGUGUGACAUCAACAAACUUACUUUACCUCUCUGAGUUUUAUUUACCAAAUAUUUAAAAUGUUACUAAUAAAACAUCAUAGAAAUUAAA